UGAACCACUAAACACACCACAUCAUUCCAUGACUUUCUUACAUUUCCAACUUGCAAACUUCCCCUCUUUCCCAUUCUUUAUUCACGGCAACCACACACCCCACUAUAUCCUCAUUUUCAUUCUCUAAAACACCAUAAUUUACAUCAUUAAAAAGCCAUUUUAAGGUGUUUAAGGAACUUGUAUGCUUGGAGAAUCAUUGGAGAUUAUUUUAGAGCUUUCAAGUCUUCUUAAUCUUUAUCUUAAAGUCCAUAAAUCCUUUGCAAAUUUGUUAUUACGCGCUAAUUGGAUACCCGAACUGCUAGCAUACAUACGGACGCAAACUUGUAACUAAGUGGAUCUUGGUGCAACAAAUUAUGAAGUUUCA